CUCUGUAAGCAAACCUGUUGGUCCAUCAAUGGGGAUGUGCAUGAUUUUAAGUAGACCAGGACUAGGCCUUCAAAUGCUUUCAUGGCCACAUAAAUCAGGGCGAUGGCUCUGAGGUCAUUCAGACAGGUUGUUUUGGGACAGGGAUGAUGGUGGAUACUUUAAAGCACUGUGGUACUAAACACUGGCAUCAGGAAGUGUUAAACAUGUCAGUGAACACUGGAGCCAGUGGUUCUUCAUAGUGGUGGAUUACAGCUGGGGCAGGUUGGAUUACAGCUGGGGCAGGUUGGAUUACAACUGGAGCAGGUUGGAUUACAACUGGGAUUACAGCUGGGGCAGGUUGGAUUACAGAUGGGGCAGGUUGGAUUACAACUGGGGCAGGUUGGAUUACAACUGGAGCAGGUUGGAUUACAACUGGGAUUACAGCUGGGGCAGGUUGGAUUACAGCUGGGGCAGGUUGGAUUACAACUGGGAUUACAGCUGGGGCAAAUUGGAUUACAGCUGGGAUUACUGCUGGGGCAGGUUGGAUUACAGCUGGGGCAGGUUGGAUUACAACUGGGAUUACAACUGGGACAGGUUGGAUUACAGCUGGGGCAGGUUGGAUUACAGCUGGGAUUACUGCUGGGGCAGGUUGGAUUACAGCUGGGAUUACAACUGGGACAGGUUGAAUUACAGCUGGGGCAGGUUGGAUUACAGCUGGGGCAGGUUGGAUUACAGCUGCGAUUACAGCUGGGGCAGGUUGGAUUACAGCUGGGGCAGGUUGGAUUACAGCUGGGGCAGGUUGGAUUACAGCUGCGAUUAC
ensembl:lncRNA